rnacentral:misc_RNA from 1 species
AGUAACUGUUGGUGUGCUGUUGGUGUGUAAAUCAGAGUAUAUAGAACACCGUGUAAAUUGCAUGCGCAUGUACCCCAUACAUCUAUGUAUUUCAGGUAUAUGAAGAAAGUGGUAGCAGUGCUUGAAGUUAUUUGGCAAGAAGAAAGCAUUUUACGAUGACAUCUGAAUCAGUAGCAGACAAGGAUGAGCCAAAUAAGUCAUCAACUGAAAUUCUAUCUGAGCUGUUUGAUAUGUUUGUUAAUGAGGACCCUCCAUUAAAUGAAUCUGAUAAAAAUGGCUCAUCAGAAUCGGGCAGUGAUUCUGAUUCAUCCAAUACAGAACAAGCAUCUGAUGCAUCUGAGCCACCUAUGCUUAAGCUAGCAGAGACAGAUAAUGUUGAGCAGGAUGAGUCAAAAACAACAGAAAAGAAAAAGAAAGAUAAAAAGAAGAGCAAGCACAAACAUAAGCAUAAACACAAGAAAAAGAAAAAGAAGCAUAAGCACAAGUCCAAUGACUCAAAAAUAGCUGAUAAUGACUCCAACGAAAAGAAGAAGAAGAAAAAGAAAAAAGAUAAAAAGAAGACCAAGGAUGAAAGUCCUGGUGCUCCUCAAAAGCCAAAAAAGAGGAAGCACUCCAGUCUUUCCACUGAGGAUUGUGAAAAGUCCAAAACAAAGAGGUCGCGGUCUCGUUCGCCGAAGGCCAGACUGGUCAGUCCCAGUAAGCCUGCCGUCGCCGAGGACGUGUCGACAGGCCGCUCGGCGCCACGUGCCGACCGCUCUCCGCGCGCCAAACGCCGACACCGGUCCUCGGGCGGUGCGGACGGCAAGGAGCGGCGCCGGCACCGCUCGGCCCGCAGUCGGAGUCGGAGUCGGAGUCGGAGCGGCAGCUGCGGCGGGACUCUGACGGAGCGCCGGCGCCGCAGCCGCUCCAGCCGGCGGAGGUCGGAGGCGGAGCGGUGCGGGUCGGUGGAGGAGCCGGUCGUGGACUCCGGCGGCGGGUGGAAGACGGUGUCCAGUCCGAGUCCGCCACCGGCCGGGUCCGCGGAGUCGCCGAGCAGUCCGGCCGCCGCCCCGCCGGCCCGCACCGGCGGCUGGACCACCCUUCCGGCCGCCGAACCGACCGAGCGCCGCGAGACCUCGGAGGGCGCCGCGGACCCGGCGCCUGCCCCCGAGACGGUGUCGCCGCCGACAGCCGCCGCUCCGCGGGAGUCGGCUGCACCGGUGGAGUCGUUGCCGCUGCCUCCGGAACCAGCGGGUGCGCCGGCAGCGACCGAUACCGGAUCGGAGGAGCAGCCCCCACCUCAGAAAGCGGCCGCGGAGCCGGCCGGUCGGCAGGCGCGGCGCGGUGCCACCAUCGUGAUCCGCUCGCUCAAGCACUCUGCGGUGUUUGAACAGGCAGAGGAGGAGGCUCGCCGCCGAGAGGCGGAGCGGCAGGCGCGCUACGAGGACGGCGAGAUCAGCGACUCGUCCUCCGACGCCGCCGGGCCGGCCGAUACGCCAGCCGAUAAGGCCGACGCCGAGGAGGAUGCGGCGGACAAGACGGAGCAUUCCAAUGCUGACGAUGGAGAGAUUUCCAGCGACGAAAAUGAGGAAUCUGGUAAGAAAAAGGACAAAACUGACCAAGAUAGUAAAAAGAAGUCGAAGAAAGCACACAAGAAAGAACGAGACAGAUCAUCCAGUCGCCACAAACGCCGGCGCCGGAGCGGCUCCUCCUCUCGGACCAGGGACCGGGACUCGGAGAGGGACGGGGAGCGGGACCGCUCGCCGAGGGACUCCGGGCGGCACAGCCACCGCGAGAGGCACCGAUCAUCGCGCCGCAGACGCAGCUCUCGCUCGGCCUCCCGGGAGCGGCACCGGAGUCGGGAGCGGUCGAGCCGCCGGGACCGCGACUGGGACCAGCACGACCACCGGGACCGGGACCGGGGAGACCGGCGGGACCGGGACCGGGGCGACCUGCGCGAGCGGAUCGACAAGCGCCGACUGCUGGAGGUGGCGCGCCGGAACGCGCUGCGGCUCGGCGAGGAGGGUCUGCUGCCGGCCGGCCUGGAGGCGGCGCUGCCCGACCCGCGCCGCGCCACCGCCAAAAACCUCCACCAGCUGACCGAGAUGUGCCGCCGUCUCCGGGAUGAGGAGAGUGACGGCGGCGGCCGGCCGGGCGGGCGCCGAGCCUCGGACGACGAGGCGCCUUUCCACCACCCGUUUGCCGUCAAAGAGCGGCCGUCGCACAUCGUCAUGAACAUCCGGAACGCGCCGCAGCUGCCGGUGAAGACGCACGCCGAGCGGCAGGCGACCGUGGCCAAACUGAGCUCCAGCUUCCCCGUCUCCAGCGGCGAGCAGCACAGGACCAAAGAGCUGGAGUGGGUGCCUGUGGAGCCGGAGAACAAGACCAAGUCAUCCUCCGCCGCUCCGAAGGCCAUUGAGGCUCCACCGGCGGCCACUGAGCCCGCGACCGCCACAGCGGCGCCGACUCCGGUGCCGGCGCCGGUACCCCCUCCGGUGACGACACCGGCCGCUGCCCCUGCUCCCGCGGACAGCGUGUUCCCCACGCCGCCGCCGCCGCCGGAGGUGGACCUGAACACGAUAGUCAGUCGGCGGCUGACGGCCAUCCGUGAGCUGCAACAGAACCCACACAGUCGGCAGGCCCAGCACCUCAUGGACAGCGCUCACCAGGACAUGCAGAACUGGGCGGCGUCCCAGCAGCGUCCGGGCGUGUUCCACGGCUCGACGGGCGCGCGGGUUCUGAGCGCAGCUGAGCUUAGCGCCGGCCAGCAGGCCUGGGCCAAAAAGUGCCGUCUAGCAGGAUUGCGCCGCGCCGACGGGACCGGGCGUGCCGCGCCGCCGCUCGUCUGGUGAACCAGCUGAAGACGUCUGCGCCGGUGAAGGGCGGCGUGGGAGAGCUGCUGCUCAAGAAGAUGGGCUGGAGGCCGGGCCAGGGCCUGGGCAAGAACCAGGACGGCUCGCUGACGCCGCUGCUGCUCGAUGUCAAGAUGGACAAGAAGGGCCUGGUGUCGGAGGAUGAGCGGCCCGGCGCCAAGCGGCAGGCGCCCGUCACCAUGACCACCGUCAAGGAUCUGUCCGGCAAACACCCGAUCUCUGCGCUGAUGGAGCUGUGUACGAAGCGGCGCUGGGGGCCGCCCGACUUCCAGCUCUGCAUGGACCGCGGCCCGGCGCACAACAAACACUUCCUCUACAAGGUGACUGUGAACUCCGUCACCUACCAGCCGAGCAUGGACAGCUCGACCAAGAAGGUGGCCAAGGCGAGCGCGGCGGCGGCCUGUCUGCAGGCGUUGGGCCUGCUGCCUUCGGACGCGUGACUGGCGGGCCGGCAGCCGCCCCCGCCGCCGCCGCCGCCCCCGCCCGUGCCGCCGGUGGUAGUGGAGGAGCGGCGUCCGAUGCGGCUGGCGGUGCCGGCAGCUAAUAGGAUGGUCAGCCGCGCACUGAGAAGGCCGACCGACCCCAACAACAAUAACCCGGCCCGCUGACCGGGGUGGGCCCUCUGGAGUACAGUGGAACCCCGUUCGGCCAGGCGCUGGCUGCUGCAGCUGACCUGUGUGACUCUGGGGUACAGUGAAACCCCCGUUCGACCUGGCGCUGCUGCUGACCUGUGUGACUGUGUGACUACUUUGUGUGUGACUGUGUGUGGUAGUGGACGGUGUUGUAUACCAGCCCCGAGGAGCUAUUGUAUGUGGUGUACAGCGCGGCGUAAUCGUGUGGGAUCUCCACGCGCGCAAGAAUCGUUCAAACCGCGCUGGUAAGAGGGCGCAGUGCCGCGCACACCAGACUCGAGAUUCAGGAGCGAUGAUAAUGUAUUAUGUUCGGGCUGUCACUUUGCAGCGUUUGCCCGCUCCAGGUGCCCAUAGAUGACGUGUUGUAGGAGGAAGACUGUUGUUUCAUUCAUGUCUGCGGGCAGACACCGACAUUCGCUGCGAGUUUUCUUCCGUGGCUGUACGAAGCGUUUCGAGAGCUUGGAGGGCCAAGCCCGUCUCUCUGGCUCUCUGCCUGCCAUGAAGCGCACGAACAAACGGUGCGCUGGUUCGAUCGAAAGCGGCUCAGGGUAUCAAUUUCAUCGGGCGGCCGGUGGUCGGCCGCCAGCCGGCCGCAUUGUGAUAAAUAUAUACCGUUUGUAUGUAAGA